GUGAAAGAGAAAAAAAAACACCGCUGCCCGCUACCGGUGAUGUAACCCCUGCAAGGGUCGGUCCACUGAUUGUAAGGACCUGUAUCAUACUGGUGAACUCUUCGUGCUCCCUCUCUGCAGACAACCAAACAUGGACAUGACCACAGCAGAGGUGCAGAUAGUUUCACUGUCCAACCAUCUUCUGAGGGGAGAGCGAACAUGGAAACAGAGGACAGAAAUACAAGAAUGCCUUUUGGUGAAGAAGCC